AUGAACGCUGGCGGCGUGCUUAACACAUGCAAGUCGAACGAUUAACCCGCCCUCGGGCGGUUAUAGAGUGGCGAACGGGUGAGUAACACGUGACCAACCUGCCCCUUGCUCCGGGACAACCCAGGGAAACCUCGGCUAAUACCGGAUACUCCGCGCAGCCCGCAUGGGGGGCGCGGGAAAGCCCAGACGGCAAGGGAUGGGGUCGCGGCCCAUUAGGUAGACGGCGGGGUAACGGCCCACCGUGCCCGCGAUGGGUAGCCGGGUUGAGAGACCGAUCGGCCACAUUGGGACUGAGAUACGGCCCAGACUCCUACGGGAGGCAGCAGUGGGGAAUUUUGCGCAAUGGGGGAAACCCUGACGCAGCAACGCCGCGUGCGGGACGAAGGCCUUCGGGUUGUAAACCGCUUUCAGCAGGGAAUAUAGUGAAGGUACCUGCAGAAGAAGCUCCGGCUAACUACGUGCCAGCAGCCGCGGUAAUACGUAGGGAGCGAGCGUUAUCCGGAUUCAUUGGGCGUAAAGCGCGCGUAGGCGGCCCGUCAAGCGGGGUUUCAAAUCCAGGGGCUCAACCUCUGGCCGGACCCCGAACUGGCGGGCUCGAGUGCGGUAGAGGAAGGUGGAAUUCCCAGUGUAGCGGUGAAAUGCGCAGAUAUUGGGAAGAACACCGAUGGCGAAGGCAGCCUUCUGGGCCGCCACUGACGCUGAGGCGCGAAAGCUAGGGGAGCGAACAGGAUUAGAUACCCUGGUAGUCCUAGCCGUAAACGAUGGGCACUAGGUGUGGGGGAGCAUCUCCUCCGUGCCGCAGCCAACGCAUUAAGUGCCCCGCCUGGGGAGUACGGCCGCAAGGCUAAAACUCAAAGGAAUUGACGGGGGCCCGCACAAGCAGCGGAGCAUGUGGCUUAAUUCGAAGCAACGCGAAGAACCUUACCAGGGCUUGACAUGCAGGUGAAGCGGCGGAAACGCCGUGGCCGAGAGGAGCCUGCGCAGGUGGUGCAUGGCUGUCGUCAGCUCGUGUCGUGAGAUGUUGGGUUAAGUCCCGCAACGAGCGCAACCCUUACUGUCAGUUACUACGCAAGAGGACUCUGGCAGGACUGCCGUUGACAAAACGGAGGAAGGUGGGGAUGACGUCAAAUCAUCAUGCCCCUUAUGAUUUGGGCUACACACGUGCUACAAUGGCGUAAACAAAGGGAAGCGGAGCCGCGAGGCCGAGCAAAUCUCAAAAAUAACGUCUCAGUUCGGACUGUAGUCUGCAACCCGACUACACGAAGCUGGAAUCGCUAGUAAUCGCGAAUCAGAAUGUCGCGGUGAAUACGUUCCCGGGCCUUGUACACACCGCCCGUCACACCAUGAGAGUCGGGAAUACCCGAAGCCUGUGAGCCAACAUAUUUAUAUGAGGCAGCAGUCGAAGGUAGAAUCGAUGAUUGGGGUG
rnacentral:rRNA from 1 species